CUGACAAGGACUCUUCUAUGAACAGUAUUUUCUGUCGGCAUUUUCCCGAAGGUACCAUCACCUAUUGCUCCAACCAUUGUGCGAAAACACUGCACAAGAAUCUGCAAAAAAUAAAGCAAAGAAAGUGUGAGUGCCGGGCAGCCAGCUUCAAAUGCAAACGCAUGACAGAUGCCUUUAUGGGGGGUUGUAAGGCCGCCCUAAGCAACCUGAUCGCCUCAGACCAGAUCAUGGGGAAGGAAAAUGCGUUUACAUCCUUCUCUGAGGCAAUUCUCAAUUUUUAUCAGCACUAUUGCCUAGAUGAGCAUUCAUCUCCCUGGUGCUGUCAUGAUAAGCUGACGGAGGAUGGCAGCCCAUACAGAGGAAAGCACAAAUUCACCUGCCUGGCUCAAGUCGAAGGCUUUAAGGGACUGGUUGAGGAGAUGGGUGCACACCCCCAGGACUAUGUGUCUGACCAUGGGAGGCUGACAACAAAUACUGUUGAAGGCUUCCACGGUUAGCUCUGAUCUACAGGGAAAAACGAACAGAUUUAGGCCAUGUACAUUACACCUGCAAAACAAAUAUGGCUAUUUGUCACAAGGUACAUACUUGGUGAACACGUACUAUUGUGAACACGU